UGGCCGGAGAGGCAGCAGCACCCCGAGCUGUCAGGCGUUCCGCCGCGGCCGCGAGGCGGGCCGCGCGCGUCGGCGUCACAGCCCGCGGCAGAGGCGCCCAGGGCGGCCGGGCCCACGACGCCGAAAGCGCCGCUGCGGUUGCCGCCUCGGAGGCUCCCCCGGGCCCCGGCGGCUGGACCCGGCGCGGGCGGGAGGCUCGGGCGGGCGGUCCGGCCCGGGACUCGGGUUUGGGCGACCAGGAGGUGCCGGUGGCCGCGCUCGGACCCGGUGACUUAAGAGAUUAAAAUUAAUUUGGUUGCUGUUGGUUCUGAACAAAUAAUGAGUUCUUUUAUUUGAGGUAUGCCAUUUUGAAGACUGAGACGUUGGAGUUUUAUCCUAGAGGAUAAAGGAAAUCUUUGGGAAAGUCAGUAUUUUAUAUAGCAAAAAUAUGAACCUCAAACUGAAUCCUCUAAAGGCCCCAUACAAUGAAGUAGACAUUGGUGGAAACAUUUACACCCAGUCAGCUUGAAGAGUUUCAAAUGGACCCUACCACUGAGAAAUCAAGAUGGCAGUCUACUAUGGGGAAUUGAGGAAAAAUGGAUUAAUACAAGAGUCCUGUGAUAAUAUACAACCAAGACAGGGUUCUUUUAACAUGGAUUCCAUGCAGUGAAUGAAGACAUAGGUUUCUUACCCAACACAAAUGGACAGUGGAUUUGACUUUCUAAAGACUUUUUUUGUGGACAUUUUGACAUUUGGAGAAGAAAGAUGGCACACUAACCCAGAUAAUAGUUUUUAUGCCUGGAAUUUUUUGCAGUUUGAUUUGUAUGCGUAUGAC
rnacentral:lncRNA from 1 species